GGCCAGGCCAGUCUCGCUUCCUACUGCCCCAGGGGCUGAAGGGACCACCUGUGCACCUGGGGAGGCAGGGGCACUGGGGGAACCUCAGCCUUGUCCCUGCCAGCAUGUGUGAGGCCCCCACUCUGUCCCUCCCCUGAGCCAGCAGCCAGCUGGUGCUCCUUCCCUGUCUCCAUACCCCCCACCACUCACCCGAUCCCAUUCCUUGGUCCCCCCAGGACCCAGCCCAGGACCCAGCCCAGGACCCAGCCCAGGGUCAGAGGCCAGGCGUUUUCAGAUCACUCAAGCUCCCCAGCCCAAGAGAGACACCCCCCACCCAGAGCAAGGCACCCUCUCCGCCUCCUGCUCCACCCCACCCUGCCCUGGGGAGGUGUUCCCGGUGCUGGUUUCUGGGGGUGGGCCACGGGUCUCUGCAGGGCUGGAAAUGCUUUCUCCACAAGUUUUUAUCACUCUGCCUCAGCCUCGUCCGCCCCCUGGUCCUGUGGCCAGCCCACCGCCUACGGCCCCCUCUCCCUGCUUUGGCCUGGCUGGCGGCCCCACGCGGUAGCCCCGCAGCCCCGGGGCCUUCAGCAGGUGGGCCAGGAGGCGGCGGCCACCGCAGGCAGCCCCGCCGGGGUUCAGGGCGGCCUCGGAUCGCGGAGGCUCUACUUCCGAUUUUCCGGAAGAUGCUGCUCGUUCACGAUCAUUGUUCUUUCCUUCUGGGGCAUGAGAAAGCAGGUUCCGCGCACAAUUGGAAGAGCAGCAGGUCAAGGUUCCCAGAGUAUGAAAUGUCUGCCUCCGUCGGCAAUGACAUUCUCCCAGAGGCACUAAAAAUAGAUGCAGAACAGAAGCAUCAAGUCCCUGGAGGCUGGAGAGAGACAACAAGAAAGUGAACUUGAGAAGGGUCAGCAUGGAAGGACUUUGCUCUUUCAAGUUUAUCAAAAAAACAGGUCAUGCAAAAAAUCCUUUGAGGCUCUUGUCUUUGAAGAGAUAAGUGAAUGAUGCAGGACCUGGAAGGAACUUAACAUAGUUUCUCGCUUCAUCUACGAGCCGACUGUCCCGUCAGGAUUGCUCUCCCUGCAGCAUAAGAAGAGCCUGAGGGCCACAGAACCUCAGGAGCCUCGCCCUUGAGACUUGGGGUGUCGGCGAAGGCUUCCCAGAGGGGCGGCCUGAGUGGGCUUAAGCAGGGCACCCAGGAGUUCCUUGAGUGGCGGAGGAAAGGUGGGUGCGUUUCUGGCCCCGAGCCGUGAUGGAGGGGAGGUGUGGGAGGGUGGGGUCUGCCGUGGCCCAGUUGCCUCACCAGACCCGGAGCUUCCGGGGUGGGACUUGGGGAUGACCCAGGGCAGAGCCUGUCUUGGCCAAAGACAGCUGGCCCAGAGCAGGGCCCUUAGCCCUUGAGCCUGGCUGAGUCCUACCAGCCCCUCUCUGAGUGCCCUUGGACAAGCAUCUCCCCUCUCGGACGGUCAGCUACUCCGUGUGUAAGGUGAGGACAGCGGGCAGAUUCCGUGUGAGCACCUGUUGAUGCCGGCUGGGCCCUGGGGAGCCCGGAGACGUGUGCCCACCUCCAGAGGGGCUGCAGAGAAAGCCGGGAGCCCAGCCUUGUGCCUGGACAGCACUGCUGCCUGGACCAUCUGGGGCUCCUGGGUCCAAACAGGGAAUGCUCCCGGGUGGGCUCAAGGAUGCGAGUCACAUCACAACGGAGGCUCCCUCUCCUGCCGUGCCCGGGGUGCGGCCGAGCCCACGCUGCCACUGCAUAAGGACCACCGCUGCCACCGCAGCCCGUUAUGUUACCACAUAAAUGGAGCCGCCUACUUAUCUCCUUGGGGGAAGGGACCGGCCUGUCUGAGGGGGCGGCAGAGAUGAGCUCAGAGGCCUGGGCUCUGCCUUUGGUUAUGCUCCGUGUGUGCACGCAUCCUGGGCCUAGCGGCCGGGCUCAGGUGUAGGCAACGGGAAACAAGGUCCUGGAAGCGCAGGCCACGUGCCUUUGGGUUGCCCACUUGGUUGGCAGCAGCCAGCCUUGGCUGGGGGAGGCAGGGCUUCCUCUGCCAGCAGCAGGAGGUCCUGCCUGGGUCACAUCUGGGCGGCAGGCAUCUAGUGCCCACCCGCCAUGGCUGCAAGGUUCUGCCUGCUGCUGGUGCCGCUCGGCUGCGCUAGGUGGGCAGGUGGCCUUCUGCACAGGGUGGUAGGGGGCUCCGAGACUAGAGGAGCAGGCCCUGGGGACACCCUGGGGUCAGCAGUCUUUGUCUCCUAGGGCACAAAAUUUUUUCUUUUACUGUAGUAUAGUCACUUUACAGUGUUGUGUCAGUUUCUGGGGCACAGCAUGUUUCAGUCAUACGUGUACAUGCAUAUGUUCAUUUCCAUAUUCUUUUUCACUA